CCUACGGGUGGCUGCAGUGAGGAAUAUUGGUCAAUGGCCGGAAGGCUGAACCAGCCAAGCCGCGUGAAGGACGAAGGUGCCAAGCAUUGUAAACUUCUUUUGUCAAGGGACAAAAUCAGGCUCGAGAGCCUGACCGCGGGUACUUGAAGAAAAAGCAUCGGCUAACUCCGUGCCAGCAGCCGCGGUAAUACGGAGGAUGCGAGCGUUAUCCGGAUUUAUUGGGUUUAAAGGGUGCGUAGGCGGACUGUUAAGUCAGCGGUAAAAGGGGGGGGCUCAACCCAGAAGAGCAGUUGAAACUGGCUGUCUUGAGAUGAGUAGAGGUAGGCGGAAUGCGCAGUGUAGCGGUGAAAUGCUUAGAUAUUGCGAAGAACCCCGAUUGCGAAGGCAGCAUACCGGCGGCGAUCUGACGCUGAGGCACGAAAGCGUGGGUAUCGAACAGGAUUAGAUACCCGAGUAGUC
rnacentral:rRNA from 1 species